rnacentral:rRNA from 1 species
AACGAACGCUGGCGGCAUGCCUAACACAUGCAAGUCGAACGGGAUCCAGGCUUCGGCCUGGUGAGAGUGGCGGACGGGUGAGUAACACGUGGGAACCUGCCUUUUGGUUCGGGAUAACCGCGGGAAACUGCGGCUAAUACCGGAUGCUCCCGAGAGGGGAAAGAUUUAUCGCCAGAAGAGGGGCCCGCGUCCGAUUAGGUAGUUGGUGAGGUAAUGGCUCACCAAGCCGACGAUCGGUAGCUGGUCUGAGAGGAUGAUCAGCCACACUGGGACUGAGAUACGGCCCAGACUCCUACGGGAGGCAGCAGUGGGGAAUAUUGGACAAUGGGGGCAACCCUGAUCCAGCAAUGCCGCGUGAGUGAUGAAGGCCUUAGGGUUGUAAAGCUCUUUUGCCAGGGAAGAUGAUGACUGUACCUGGAGAAUAAGCCCCGGCUAACUUCGUGCCAGCAGCCGCGAU